UACGAAGGGGGCGAGCGUUGUUCGGAAUUACUGGGCGUAAAGCGUGCGCAGGCGGUUAUGCAAGGCAGAUGUGAAAUCCCCGGGCUCAACCUGGGAACUGCAUUUGUGACUGCAUGGCUAGAGUACGGUAGAGGGGGAUGGAAUUCCGCGUGUAGCAGUGAAAUGCGUAGAUAUGCGGAGGAACACCGAUGGCGAAGGCAAUCCCCUGGACCUGUACUGACGCUCAUGCACGAAAGCGUGGGGAGCAAACAGG
rnacentral:rRNA from 1 species